UGGCCUUAUCCAAGCUUGUCCUGAUUGCUGCUAUAUUUGACUUCUACGGCGCUCUUGAAAUUCCUACUUAGAUUGGAUGAACAAUGACUGGCCAAAGAACAUGGCCUCUGACCAGUGCCUUAUCCUCAUGUCUAGGAUCUGGAGAGUUGUACUUGAGGGGCAAGCUUGAUAUACAUUAAUUAGAAGGACUAUGUUGAACAGAAAAGUGCAAGCCUAUCCGCAUAAGGAUAUUCAUGGGAACCUUGUCUGUAGUAGGUGUAGCCAUAAACAGCUCAGCUACCCUACACAGUAGAAUGGACAAAUAUUAAGCUGUGGUACAACACAAAUACUAUACAGCAAUGAAAAUGAGCAAACUGCAUCUGUGUUCAACAAUACGAACAACAAAUAGAAGAAGCAAGACAAAGGAAUACAUUAAGUAUGAUUUCAUCAGGACCAGCAGUUGGUGUAAUGGCUAUG